GGGGCUGUAGCUCAGCUGGGAGAGCGGCGGCUUUGCAAGCCGUAGGUCAGGGGUUCGAUCCCCCUCAGCUCCACCC
rnacentral:tRNA from 1 species